rnacentral:rRNA from 1 species
UACGUAGGGGGCAAGCGUUGUCCGGAUUUAUUGGGCGUAAAGCGCGUGUAGGCGCCAGGUAGGUCCGUUGUGAAAACUCGAGGCUCAACCUCGAGCUGUCGGCGGAAACCAUCUGGCUAGAGUCCGGAAGAGGAGAAUGGAAUUCCCGGUGUAGCGGUGAAAUGCGCAGAUAUCGGGAAGAACACCCGUGGCGAAGGCGGUUCUCUGGGACGGUACUGACGCUGAGACGCGAAAGCGUGGGGAGCGAACAGG